AGGCAACCAAGUGACGUCAACAACGUCGAGGAAACGUCAGUAUUUGGUGGAAUAUAUACACGUGGUUGAACAUUACGUCAUAUCGACGUCUUUUGUAGGUGAUUUUAAAUACGUAAGAUUAAUGACGUUAAAAUACGUUUAAAAGACGUUUUCAUUUCAGCCAGCCUAAGUCUGACGUCACAAAAUUGGGAGGAGCUUGGAGCUUAAAAGUUACAAAACUAAGGUUAUGUUUUAUGUUUGUAUCGUCGUUGUCGUUUGUUUGUCCUAGUAUUUUAUCCUAUUUUGGAUUCAUUUGGAUUUUGUUGGCUGUUUUGUGUGUAUUUUUUAAAACUUUUGUUUGUCAUUUGUAAAUUUUAUAAAUUUACCACAAUGGAAAGUGACUAUUUAAGGAAAUUAUUAUUGGAAACUCCGCAGAUGUUUUAGAAAGAUAUUCAUUGAAGCUGAAAAUAAUUGGAGAUUUAGAUCCAUAUACAAUUCAGUCAUCAGAAUUGGAUUUUACAGUGCAUUCCAUCAAUAAGGUACUGUUAUAAUGCUAUUAUAGGUAGACUGGUAGAGUCUCACAGUUACUACUUUAAGCAGCAGAUGAAAGCAUACAAAAGCCUUCAGACACAUAAAAGCCUUCACAACUGGAUUUGUUUUGAAACAUUUGAUGUUUUGAUGAUUUCUAUAUUAUUGUUGGAGAGGUGAAGAAUUCCCAAAAAGCUAAUGCUAAACCACUAGAUGCUUGGGUGAUAGCCAGUUCCAAUGGCAUAGCAAAUGCACAUUGUAUGUGUAUUGCCGGUAAUAGGGAAGUUUGCAGCCAUAUUGCAGCAAUCUUAUUUGCAGCUGAGUAUGCCCACAGCAAGACAGAAGAAGAACCCAAUGCAUGUACAGAUGUUACAGCUAUGUAUAUUCUCUGGUGAAAAACUAAUGAGUUUUCAAGCUGUUCGUUCAGAGUGCUUGUUGCGCUCUCUAAACGAACUGAAAUAUAAGACGGCUUUGGCUUCAUGUUGCAGCGAUAUGAAAAUGGUUAGUCAUUUUUAAUUAUAAUGUACUUCUUCAUCAUGAGUAUUUAUGUAUAGGGCUUUUCAUUCACAGUCAUUUGUUUCGAGCUUCUGUCAUGUGUCACAUAAUAUUAAUAUUAUAUCUAUGUCAUACGUUAUUGGUAUAUACCAAUGAUACACACCAAAGACAUAUGGCGUAGAUAUAUUAAUAUUAUGUGACACAUGGCAGAUGCUCGAAACAAAUGACAGUCGAUACAAAGCCCUAUUAGUCUUUUAAGUGUGUAUUAUCAGAUAUCACAUGUAAAUUGUUUUUAUCAUUUUAAUUUGGUCAUUACAGUCCCUUAAUCAAAAAAUAUAUUUUUCAGGGGUCUGUGGAUCUUUUUGUAUGCAAAAAUUUGUAAUAAUUAUUUGAAAUCAUUUUGAGGAUUAUAAGAGUAUGGAAAUAUAUGUGAGAACACAGACUAUUAUAGUUUUGUCCUAACUUUUAUCAUUCAAUCGUCUUCUUUAAAAU